GUUGCGGUUAAAAAGCUCGUAGUUGGAUUUCUGCUGAGGACGACCGGUCCGCCCUCCGGGUGAGCAUCUGGUUCGGCCUUGGCAUCUUCUUGGUGAACGUUGCUGCACCUGACUGCGUGGCGCGGUACCCAAGACUUCUACUUUGAGGAAAUUAGAGUGCUUCAAGCAGGCAUACGCCUUGAAUACAUUAGCAUGGAAUAAUAAGAUAGGACCUGGGUUCUAUUUUGUUGGUUUCUAGAGCCGAGGUAAUGAUUAAUAAGGAUAGUUGGGGGCAUUCGUAUUUAACUGUCAGAGGUGAAAUUCUUGGAU
rnacentral:rRNA from 1 species